rnacentral:rRNA from 11 species
GUCUAUAGUGACGUUAAAUACCCUAAAGGUACCAGAUCCCAUAUGAUCUGCAAGCUAAGCAGAGCCAGCCUUGCUAGUACUUAUGUGGGACAGCCAAUGAAUACCAGGUACUAAGGAAG